GUUUAAAAGCUACACACUGAAGUACCAUGAUGUGCGUCACGAGCCUGUCGGUGUUCGCGGUCUUCCUCGCGCUUUUCUCACAGUCGUUUGGCUCCCCGAUGGCGCAUGCGCAUCAGGGGGACACAGGAUCGCACCCAGCGCACGAUGUGCAUCCGGAGCCAGGUUUUCAUGCUGUCCAUCACCCUGUGAAAGCGAUGUUGCGGGAUGAAAAUGAAUUGGUUGCAGGAUCUGGAUUGGGAAUGCUAGCAGUGUAAACUGUAUGAUGGGAAGAGGAUGGAAGAACUAAUUUUGUGGUUUCAUUGACAUGGAAAUGGACACUGAGGGAAGUUCAACAGUUUCUCAAUGCUCUUGGUCUUCAGCUGUGCACAAGUCCAGGCAAUGAAUCCUCAAAUGAAUGUACAGCUAAUGUAUGGCUUUGAAUAAAUGUCCAAUUCCUGAAAA